rnacentral:rRNA from 1 species
UACGUAGGCAGCAAGCGUUGUUCGGAUUUACUGGGCGUAAAGGGCGCGUAGGCGGCAUGACAAGUCACUUGUGAAAUCUCUGAGCUUAACUCAGAACGGCCAAGUGAUACUGUCGCGCUAGAGUGCAGAAAGGGCAAUCGGAAUUCUUGGUGUAGCGGUGAAAUGCGUAGAUAUCAAGAGGAACACCUGAGGCGAAGGCGGGUUGCUAGGCUGACACUGACGCUGAGGCGCGAAAGCCAGGGGAGCAAACGGG